GAUGAACGCUGGCGGCGUGCCUAAUACAUGCAAGUCGAGCGAACAGACGAGGAGCUUGCUCCUCUGACGUUAGCGGCGGACGGGUGAGUAACACGUGGAUAACCUACCUAUAAGACUGGGAUAACUUCGGGAAACCGGAGCUAAUACCGGAUAAUAUAUUGAACCGCAUGGUUCAAUAGUGAAAGACGGUUUUGCUGUCACUUAUAGAUGGAUCCGCGCCGCAUUAGCUAGUUGGUAAGGUAACGGCUUACCAAGGCAACGAUGCGUAGCCGACCUGAGAGGGGGCUGGGCCAACUGGGAAGUGAGACACGGUCCAAGCCCCUAGGGGGGGCAGGAGGGGGGAAUUUUCCGCAAUGGGGGAAAGCCGACGGGAGAAACGCCGGGGGGGUGAAGAAGGUUUUGGGACGGAAAAACCUUUUUUUUGGGAAAGAGAAAAUGUGAAAGUAACUUUCCCCGUUUUGACGGUACCUAAUCAAAAACCCCCGGCUAACUACGU
rnacentral:rRNA from 1 species